rnacentral:rRNA from 1 species
CCUACGGGGUGCACCAGUGGGGAAUAUUGCACAAUGGGCGCAAGCCUGAUGCAGCCAUGCCGCGUGUAUGAAAAAGGCCUUCGGGUUGUAAAGUACUUUCAGCGGGGAGGAAGGCGAUAAGGUUAAUAACCUUGUCGAUUGACGUUACCCGCAGAAGAAGCACCGGCUAACUCCGUGCCAGCAGCCGCGGUAAUACGGAGGGUGCAAGCGUUAAUCGGAAUUACUGGGCGUAAAGCGCACGCAGGCGGUCUGUCAAGUCGGAUGUGAAGUCCCCGGGCUCAACCUGGGAACUGCAUUCGAAACUGGCAGGCUAGAGUCUUGUAGAGGGGGGUAGAAUUCCAGGUGUAGCGGUGAAAUGCGUAGGGAUCUGGAGGAAUAUCGGUGGCGAAGGCGGCCCCCUGGACCAAGACUGACGCUCAGGUGCGAAAGCGUGGGGAGUAAACAGGAUUAGAUACCCCCGUAGUC